rnacentral:lncRNA from 1 species
UUGGAAAAAUGAUAAAAGGAUGCUUUCUACAAAACAUUACCAAAAGAAAGAAAAAACAGCCAACUGUGCAAUACUAAAGAUAUUACUCUGCCCUGGAGUCUAUUGGCCCUGACAUUCCUCAGAAAAGCAUAAGGAUCUCUUGGAUAAAACUAGAAGGAGGGAUACCUGUGUAAGAUUUUGAUUAUGUUUCAGAAAAUACAUCAUGUUGAACUAGCUGUGAAUAAUUAAAGCUUCUAAGGUGG